rnacentral:rRNA from 1 species
AACGGUGGAGCCUGCGGUUUAAUUGGACUCAACGCCGGGCAGCUCACCGGAUAAGACAGCUGGAUGAUAGCCGGGCUGAAGACUCUGCUUGACUAGCUGAGAGGAGGUGCAUGGCCGUCGUCAGUUCGUACUGUGAAGCAUCCUGUUAAGUCAGGCAACGAGCGAGACCCACGCCAACAGUUGCCAGCAUGUCCUCCGGGAUGAUGGGGACACUGUUGGGACCGCCUCUGCUAAAGAGGAGGAAGGAAUGGGCAACGGUAGGUCAGCAUGCCCCGAAUUAUCCGGGCUACACGCGGGCUACAAUGGUCAGGACAAUGGGUAUCGACACCGAGAGGUGGAGGCAAUCUCCUAAACCUGUCCUUAGUUCGGAUUGUGGGCUGCAACUCGCCCACAUGAAGCUGGAAUCCGUAGUAAUCGCGUUUCAAAAUAGCGCGGUGAAUAUGUCCCUGCUCCUU